UCCAGACUCCUACGGGAGGCAGCAGUGGGGGAUAUUGCACAAUGGGGGGAACCCUGAUGCAGCGACGCCGCGUGGGUGAAGGAGCGUUUCGGCGCGUAAAGCCCUCUCGGCAGGGAAGAAGGAGGACGGUACCUGACUAAGAAGCCCCGGCUAACUACGUGCCAGCAGCCGCGGUAAUACGUAGGGGGCAAGCGUUAUCCGGAUUUACUGGGUGUAAAGGGGGCGCAGACGGCAGCGCAAGCCAGGAGUGAAAGCCCGGGGCCCAACCCCGGGACUGCUCUUGGAACUGCGCGGCUGGAGUGCAGGAGGGGCAGGCGGAAUUCCUGGUGUAGCGGUGAAAUGCGUAGAUAUCAGGAGGAACACCGGUGGCGAAGGCGGCCUGCUGGACUGCGACUGACGUUGAGGCCCGAAAGCGUGGGGAGCAAACAGGAUUAGAUCCCCGCGUA
rnacentral:rRNA from 1 species